AGGACGAACGCUGGCGGCGUGCUUAACACAUGCAAGUCGAGCGAGGCCCUUCCUUCGGGGAGGUGCCCUAGCGGCGAACGGGUGAGUAACACGUGGGCAACCUGCCCCUAGCACUGGGAUAACUCCGGGAAACCGGGGCUAAUACCGGAUAUGACCUUUGAGGGCAUCCUCUUUGGUGUAAAGGACUCUGGCUAGGGAUGGGCCCGCGGCCUAUCAGCUUGUUGGUGGGGUAAUAGCCUACCAAGGCGACGACGGGUAGCCGGCCUGAGAGGGCGACCGGCCACACUGGGACUGAGACACGGCCCAGACUCCUACGGGAGGCAGCAGUGGGGAAUAUUGCACAAUGGGCGAAAGCCUGAUGCAGCGACGCCGCGUGAGGGAUGACUGCCUUCGGGUUGUAAACCUCUUUCAGCAGGGACGAAGCGAAAGUGACGGUACCUGCAGAAGAAGCACCGGCCAACUACGCGCCAGCAGGCCGC
rnacentral:rRNA from 1 species